AGAGUUUGAUCCUAGCUCAGGAUGAACGCUGGCGGCGUGCCUAAUACAUGCAAGUCGAGCGAACGGACGAGAAGCUUGCUUCUCUGAUGUUAGCGGCGGACGGGUGAGUAACACGUGGAUAACCUACCUAUAAGACUGGGAUAACUUCGGGAAACCGGAGCUAAUACCGGAUAAUAUUUUGAACCGCAUGGUUCAAAAGUGAAAGACGGUCUUGCUGUCACUUAUAGAUGGAUCCGCGCUGCAUUAGCUAGUUGGUAAGGUAACGGCUUACCAAGGCAACGAUGCAUAGCCGACCUGAGAGGGUGAUCGGCCACACUGGAACUGAGACACGGUCCAGACUCCUACGGGAGGCAGCAGUAGGGAAUCUUCCGCAAUGGGCGAAAGCCUGACGGAGCAACGCCGCGUGAGUGAUGAAGGUCUUCGGAUCGUAAAACUCUGUUAUUAGGGAAGAACAUAUGUGUAAGUAACUGUGCACAUCUUGACGGUACCUAAUCAGAAAGCCACGGCUAACUACGUGCCAGCAGCCGCGGUAAUACGUAGGUGGCAAGCGUUAUCCGGAAUUAUUGGGCGUAAAGCGCGCGUAGGCGGUUUUUUAAGUCUGAUGUGAAAGCCCACGGCUCAACCGUGGAGGGUCAUUGGAAACUGGAAAACUUGAGUGCAGAAGAGGAAAGUGGAAUUCCAUGUGUAGCGGUGAAAUGCGCAGAGAUAUGGAGGAACACCAGUGGCGAAGGCGACUUUCUGGUCUGUAACUGACGCUGAUGUGCGAAAGCGUGGGGAUCAAACAGGAUUAGAUACCCUGGUAGUCCACGCCGUAAACGAUGAGUGCUAAGUGUUAGGGGGUUUCCGCCCCUUAGUGCUGCAGCUAACGCAUUAAGCACUCCGCCUGGGGAGUACGACCGCAAGGUUGAAACUCAAAGGAAUUGACGGGGACCCGCACAAGCGGUGGAGCAUGUGGUUUAAUUCGAAGCAACGCGAAGAACCUUACCAAAUCUUGACAUCCUUUGACAACUCUAGAGAUAGAGCCUUCCUCUUCGGGGGACAAAGUGACAGGUGGUGCAUGGUUGUCGUCAGCUCGUGUCGUGAGAUGUUGGGUUAAGUCCCGCAACGAGCGCAACCCUUAAGCUUAGUUGCCAUCAUUAAGUUGGGCACUCUAAGUUGACUGCCGGUGACAAACCGGAGGAAGGUGGGGAUGACGUCAAAUCAUCAUGCCCCUUAUGAUUUGGGCUACACACGUGCUACAAUGGACAAUACAAAGGGCAGCGAAACCGCGAGGUCAAGCAAAUCCCAUAAAGUUGUUCUCAGUUCGGAUUGUAGUCUGCAACUCGACUACAUGAAGCUGGAAUCGCUAGUAAUCGUAGAUCAGCAUGCUACGGUGAAUACGUUCCCGGGUCUUGUACACACCGCCCGUCACACCACGAGAGUUUGUAACACCCGAAGCCGGUGGAGUAACCUUUUAGGAGCUAGCCGUCGAAGGUGGGACAAAUGAUUGGGGUGAAGUCGUAACAAGGUAGCCGUAUCGGAAGGUGCGGCUGGAUCACCU
rnacentral:rRNA from 1 species